rnacentral:rRNA from 1 species
GACGAACGCUGGCGGCGUGCUUAACACAUGCAAGUCGAGCGGAAAGGCCCUUUCGGGGGUACUCGAGCGGCGAACGGGUGAGUAACACGUGAGUAAUCUGCCCCGUACUCUGGGAUAGCCUUGGGAAACUGAGAUUAAUACCGGAUAUGAAAUGCGAUCGCAUGGUUGUGUUUGGAAAGUUUUUUCGGUACGGGAUGUGCUCGCGGCCUAUCAGCUUGAUGGUGGGGUAAUGGCCUACCAUGGCUUCGACGGGUAGCCGGCCUGAGAGGGUGACCGGCCACACUGGGACUGAGACACGGCCCAGACUCCUACGGGAGGCAGCAGUGGGGAAUAUUGGACAAUGGGCGGAAGCCUGAUCCAGCAACGCCGCGUGAGGGAUGACGGCCUUCGGGUUGUAAACCUCUUUCAGCAGCCACGAAGCGAAAGUGACGGUAGCUGCAGAAGAAGGACCGGCCAACUACGUGCCAGCCGCCGCCGUAAUAC